AAGCCAGAUGUGGUGGUGCCCGCCUGUAAUCCCAGCACUUGGAAGGCCGAGGCAGGAGGACUGCCAUGAGUUUCAGGCCACCCUGGGCAACAUAGUGAGCUGAAGUCCGGGCUGAACCACACAGGGAGACCCCGUCUCACAAAACCGAAAAAGGAAAAGCGUCCGUCACCCAAACCACAGCCUGGCACAGGUCCUGACAGCUCUUGAGCGAGCUCCCAAGUUUACACAUCAGAGGUGAGCUGCAUGGCACAGGGGUUUGCCAUCACACUGGGUGUGGUCAGGACCCGCCCCACGACAGCGUGGGUCACUGGUGGAGGGAUGGCUGUCCUCCCCGUUUCUUGUCCUUUGUCUCCUCCUGGUGGGACCGCUCUGCAGUGUCCUCCAUGCGUGCAGUGUGGGGUGGAGGACAGAAGCUGCAAAGCAACCCGCCUGGCACCCAGGGCCCCUCCUGGCGUCCUGCUCCCAUGAUGGAGAAAGGGGACCCGCCACCUGGGCAUCUCAGAGCAGUCCUGACAGCUCAGCUCUGAAAGUGUGCUUUGCAAUGGAGCCUAAGUGACCAUUCCCCUGUGUGGAGCUACGCCUGGCACUGGCCCUCUGCACAGAGGGACUCGGAGGCUGUGGCAGAGGGUUGUGGCUGAGCUGUGCCCGGCCAGGCUUCCUUCCUGGGGCUUCUCAGGCUUUCCUGUGCUAAUGAGCACCCUGGAGCACAACUUAGUUCUGCUGCAAGUCAGUGAAAACCCCAGAUGCCAGCAACUCCCUGUUAGCGAUGUUUAUUCCUCCCCCUGGCGGGGGGGCAGGGCACAGGUCUAUCAGCAGCAGAAGCCUAAGACCUUCCUGCCUUGCUGCUCCUCCAUCCUCAACACAGGCCUCUACCUACCCCACCUCCUGACCCAAAGAGGCUGCUUGAGCACCAGCCCCACCUGCAUUCCAGUGGACACGCAGGGUGGGGUGAAGCCUCUUUCUGCACACUCCCGAGGCCACACCAGCUCUUCUACAUGCAGCACCUCUGGCUGACCCGGCUGCCGCCCUCAUACAAGACUUGGGGACUUGGGAGCAGGCCACAGCUGCCAGGCCUCUGUCAGGGCACCAGGGCCUGGCUUGAAAUCGGGUGUGCCUCUGGUCCCCAGGAAAGGGCGGGGUCCUGACACUAUGGGGAAGAUCCCUGCACACCCCCUAAAUGUCCUUCGUGACAGAAGCUCAGCUGGUGCACAGGCCCUGGUGGGGCAGCCACACCACAGGAAGGAGGAGCCUCUCCUGCAGGGUCCCAAGGCCCUGGCCAGCUGGUGCACUGGAGGGAAGCACUCUCAGGUGCUACAUGUGCCCAUUCUGUGUAGACUCGGAUGGGCAUGGGGGCACGGAGUUGUGCAGUCCACAACCUGCCCGCUCAGCCAUGGCAGCCCGGACUCCAGAUGAGGGUGACUGCAGUGUCCUCGCCUCAGCCCUGCAGCCACUUCCAGUGUAACCCCGGUUGGUUGUGGCUUAUGGAGACAGGAAAUGCAGCCUCUCCUGAGGGGUCCUGGCACCUGGGUGGCCCACAGUAAAGGCUGAGGGUGAUGCUUCUGUAAACAGGCUGGCCAGCUUGUGGUCCUGGUCUCCGGGUGUCCUAGCAACAGCUGCACCCUCCCUGGACACUCACAGGCUCUGCCCGCAGGCCGUCACCCGGGGAGCCACAGCCCAGCCCUGGCUGGAGUUGAGGCCAAGCCCGGAAGAGGAGCAGCAGGGCUGAGGUGGGGCCGGACAGCAGCUCUGCACCCAGCGAUCCAGUCAGGCCCAGGAGACCAGAGGUGUGG
rnacentral:lncRNA from 1 species